rnacentral:lncRNA from 7 species
AGAACAGCCCCUACUGGGAGCCUCUGCCUCUGAGUUACCAUUGCAAUCACAGGUCAAGUGGAGCCGAGCACAUCUGGCGUUGUGCAGCUGAAGAGAUGCAAAGCAGUGACUGGGAAUAAAAACUGAAAGUAAAAUCCCAUGGGAGGAGGAGAACUCAUCUCUCUGUCAAAGUGAUUCUGCUUCAGGUUGGUGAGAACCUUGAGGUAUUCCAGACUGGGAAAACUUAUACAGGAUCAUGUCUUCGAGUGAGCUGCAGUCAUGCUUGAAUCGGAGAUAAUUGCCUGUCAUCUCAGCCAGCUUCUCUUCAGUACAAAUCAGAUUCACAAACAUUAGAUGAGAAGAAUGCAUACGAUCUUCAAAUCUGAAUUCGUCUGUAUGUGGACCAUGGACAGCAUGAAACCCGCCUGCUCUGAAGGGACAUUUGAAUUGAAGAAAUAGAGGACAAAAAUAAAUAUGGAUGGAGGUUAAAACUCCCAGUAUAGGUGUGAAGUCAUAAACCAUUUGACCGAAAAUAAUUCAUUAUGUUGUUUCUGUUGCCAGCUUGCUGAACUCCUGCAACAAAAAUUCCUGAGAGAUUUACGGAUUUCCAAACAAAGGAAAAUUCAGUGAGAGUGCACGCUGUACUUCUGAUUCCAGCAGAUGCACACAGCCUGCAAUAAAGGAGAUGCUGCCAUUUUCCAUGAUGAAGUAUCUUCCACUUCUGAACUGCAAUCAGGAAGCCCACCUCUGGUAUCACAAUAGCACUCCAUGCUGAUCAUCACCAGAGCCCAGUGUUCAAUUCAGAGGCAAUGUCAAAAAGAGCAACAGAAGAGAAAGAGAAGAGAGAAGAAACUAGCCUGGAUUGAUUUAAAGAGCAGGCCUGAAGGAACCUCUUAGAGUAUGUUUGUGUCUUUGUAUAACUGGAGCUGGCUUGCUGUAAAUGAGAUGCAAAAUGGAGGAAUUCAGGAAAUUCAUACGGCAGUUUCAGUGCUGCACAGGACUGCAAGUUUGAUCCCAGAGGCACCUUGAAGAAGCUUUUCUGUUGUGAAACCCAUCUUUCAGAAGCGCAUUAUGAAGUUAAGUCACUCACCAAGAGCUGAAACCUAGGAGCUGUCAAGGGCUUUCUAUUUUAAAUGACAUUUAUCUUCAUCUUGGAAAGCCUAGCUUUUACAGAGAGCAUAAAGAACUAGAGUCCAAAAGCAGGCAUAUGCAGAGGGCCAUUUAAGAUACCCAUUUGGAAACCUGAUGAUCAAUUACGUCUUAAAUACCACCUCUUUCUGUGGACUUAAGGUAGCACAGCCACUCUAUGGCAGUCUUCUACCAUUUGCAGUUCCUAAGUGUUGUCCAAUGAUGACCAUACAACUAUCUGCAGCUCAGACAUCAACAUCUGUCCCUAUAAUAGCUACUGGACAGUUCAGAGAUAUAUGCCAAAGGAAACUGAAAUGAUCACAGCUACAAGGUCAGGUGUCCCUGCAUCAUAAUAUAAUGGUGGCAAUGUGGAACACCCCUGGAUUAACUUGUGCUAGCAUAAGGACUAAAAAGAAAGAUCUCAGCAUGUUUCAAAAUCCUACUUUAAGAUAUAAAAGGUUUUCCUCCAGAGAAAACAAACACUUGAUCCCCACACGUUGAGGUCUGUAAAGGCUGCUGUUUCCAUUUUAAGAUAUGAAACCCUAUAACAUGGAACAAUCGCCCCCAAAUUAUAUACAUUGCAGAUUAAUUUUUGCUGAUUAUUAUCCACUGAAUUCAUUUUAGAGAACAACUCACUAGAGGAUAAACGUCAAUUUCAUUAUUAUUUUUCAAAACUAAGAUUCAAUUUUGCAUUUCUAUCAGAUUCAAAAUAAUUUUCUAUGUAACUCAGUGGGAUAUUCAUAUGUGCUCAGAAACUAACGAGGUAUGGGAAAUAGAUACACUAUCAUAAAAGGAAAAUCACUAAAUGAGGAAAAAAAAAAAAGAUUGUAAAAGGACCUUUUCAGUAAAAAGAACAAUUUCAUCACUGAGUAGAACUACUUGUUCACUGUAUCUCUGUUUUUUGCCAUCUCAAGUGGCCUGUUCAAUUCUGUUACUAUUUCAGAACAUUCUGCUUCUACUGACUGAAGGAAUACUGUUCAUUAAAAAUCUUUAAAGUAAAUUAAUAUUA